CUUCACACCACAGCUCCACUGCUGGCGACGCUGCCUGGCUGCGGGAGCUUCAGUUCAACACAACUUGAAUUGACUCCACAAUUUCAGUUGCAGUUUGUGUCUCGCGUGCGACGGUUCGUUAGCGGUGAAAUAGUCGUAUUCUGCUCUGUGCCGCUCUGCCGAUUGCAAAGCGCCGAAACGGUGAAUAGACUCCACACACCGUCGUCUCUGGGUGUGUGUGUGUGUGUACGCUUGUGGUCGGCGUUCGUUGGCGAACGACCACUGACGUUUGCGUUUGUGUUUGGUUCGCUUCGCCAAAGUGCAGUGCGAUUUUUUAUAGUGCAAAUUCGCCGGUGCAGCAGCAGUUCGCUUACCGGCGUUCGGUCGCAGUUGUCUGUCGCGGUCGGUACAAGUGCGUUGGAUGCGUCGGUGAGCCAGGCGCUAAGUUGCGUGCCCGCACAGUGAUUGAUUGACGUCUGUCAGAUACAGUUGCAAUCGUAUGUUGCUGGCAUUGCCCGAGCAAUACGCUUCAUUACGUCGCGUUUACAUUGCGGAGUGAAUGAGCGCUGAGUGGGCGAUGCGGUGCGGUGCGCUGUAUUUAUGAGUGUUUUAUUAAAAUAGUCCAGCAAAAUUGAGUGCAAUAAAACAUACAUACUUAAGCGGCGGAUUUUGAGCAGUGUUUGUGUAGUUGUUGUUGUGCAAAAGUCCAGCUUUUUGCGAUGCAUUAAAUAACUCCGCGAACACAAAACUAAUUAAGUUGAUAAAUAUUGGUGAAUGAAAAAUCGAGUGAAGUCGAAAAAGUCAGCGAUUAGCUACAAAACAAAAAAUCUAACAUAGAAUAUAAUACAAUUAAAUACACACGAAUAAAUAAAACACGAAAAGUGCAUUUAAACACGAAAAACAUCAUAAUUUUGUCGCCAUAUUAACAAAUUUAUGAAUAUUUUCAAACCUAAAAUAGUGUUAAAAAAUUAGUAAAAUAUUAAAAAAAUAAUACGAAAUUAUUUCAUAAAAAACUACGGUUUACGGUUUAAAAAAACAUAUGCUUUUAAAUAUUAGCUGUAAAGUGCUGCGAUCAAAAUUUAUUACAAACAAACAACUAAAAGAUUAAUGUUGCCAUAAAUCAGCGUGAAAAAAUGUUUCUGUCGUUCCAGCAUCGCAGCGAAAAUGGUAAGUUAUUUAGGCAUGAAG
rnacentral:lncRNA from 1 species